rnacentral:rRNA from 1 species
GACGAACGCUGGCGGCGUGCCUAAUACAUGCAAGUAGAACGCACAGUUUAUACCGUAGCUUGCUACACCAUAAACUGUGAGUUGCGAACGGGUGAGUAACGCGUAGGUAACCUGCCUGGUAGCGGGGGAUAACUAUUGGAAACGAUAGCUAAUACCGCAUAAUAUUGAUUAUUGCAUGAUAAUUGAUUGAAAGAUGCUAUUGCAUCACUACCAGAUGGACCUGCGUUGUAUUAGCUAGUAGGUGAGGUAACGGCUCACCUAGGCGACGAUACAUAGCCGACCUGAGAGGGUGAUCGGCCACACUGGGACUGGGACACGGCCCAGACUCCUACGGGAGGCAGCAGUAGGGAAUCUUCGGCAAAGGACGAAAGUCUGACCGAGCAACGCCGCGUGAGUGAAGAAGGUUUUCGGAUCGUAAAGCUCUGUUGUAAGAGAAGAACGGGUGUGAGAGUGGAAAGUUCACACUGUGACGGUAUCUUACCAGAAAGGGACGGCUAACUACGU